UACGUAGGGUGCGAGCGUUGUCCGGAAUUAUUGGGCGUAAAGAGCUCGUAGGCGGUGUGUCACGUCGUUCGUGAAAACCUGCAGCUUAACUGUGGGCGUGCGGUCGAUACGGGCAUCACUGGAGUUCGGCAGGGGAGGACUGGAAUUCCUGGUGUAGCGGUGAAAUGCGCAGAUAUCAGGAGGAACACCGGUGGCGAAGGCGGGUCUCUGGACAGUUCCUGACACUGAGGCACGAAGGCCAGGGGAGCAAACGGG
rnacentral:rRNA from 1 species